rnacentral:rRNA from 1 species
GACGAACGCUGGCGGCGUGCUUAACACAUGCAAGUCGAACGGUAAGGCCCUUCGGGGUACACGAGUGGCGAACGGGUGAGUAACACGUGGGUGAUCUGCCCUGCACCUCGGGAUAAGCCUGGGAAACUGGGUCUAAUACCGGAUAGGACUCCUGGCUUCAUGGUUGGGGGUGGAAAGCUUUUGCGGUGUGGGAUGGGCCCGCGGCCUAUCAGCUUGUUGGUGGGGUAAUGGCCUACCAAGGCGACGACGGGUAGCCGGCCUGGGAGGGUGACCGGUCACACUGGGACUGAGAUACGGCCCAGACUCCAACGGGAGGCAGCAGUGGGGAAUAUUGCACAAUGGGCGCAAGCCUGAUGCAGCGACGCCGCGUGAGGGAUGACGGCCUUCGGGUUGUAAACCUCUUUCAGCUAUGACGAAGCGCAAGUGACGGUAGUAGCAGAAGAAGGACCGGCCAACUACGUGCCAGCCGCCGCCGUAA